rnacentral:rRNA from 1 species
UCCGCAACACUGCGGCAUGCCUACCAUGCAAGUCGUACGGAGAGUGGGGCAACUCACUCUCAGUGGCAAACGGGUGAGUAACGCGUGAAUAACCUGCCUUUGAGAAGGGGAUAACUGUCCGAAAGGAUAGCUAAUACCCUAUAUUGCCUUUUGUCACUAAGGCAAAAGGUGAAAGCGAGGCUGUCAAAGGCUUCGGCUCAAAGAGGGGUUCGCGUCCUAUCAGGUAGUUGGUAGGGUAAUGGCCUACCAAGCCAAUGACGGGUAGCUGGUCUUAGAGGAUAAUCAGCCACAGUGGGACUGAGACACGGCCCGCACCCCUACGGGGGGCAGCAGUGGGGAAUCGUGGGCAAUGGGCGCAAGCCUGACCCCGCAAUGCCGCGUGAGGGAAGAAGCCCUUCGGGGUGUAAACCUCUGUCAGAUGGGAAGAUAGGACUAGGGGCUAAUACCUCCUGGUCUUGACGGUACCAUCAGAGGAAGGGACGGCUAACUACGUGCCAGCAGCCGCGGUAAU